rnacentral:sRNA from 1 species
AAAAUAUAUGAAAACUAGAUUUUAACCCGCGGUACACCGCGGAGACAAUUUAUUUUUUAAAAUUAAUAUAUAUAAAAAUUUGUAAAUUAUUUUAUAGUUUACCAUUGUUACUAAGUAACGUCCUGCCAAACCCGUCCUGACAAACCCGUCAACAAAAAAAAACUAUUUAUUUUAUUAAUGUUGAUCUUAUUUAUAAUAUGUUUAUGAAUCAUUGUCAAAAUAUUUUAGUCGUUGCGGGACGUUGAACCCACACAUUUUUCGCCAAUUGGUUAAUAUAUGUUCAUUCAUAAAAUUUCGAAUCACAAAAUAUGACGAUUUGUUUUUGAGAUUUUUUUUAACUCUAUAUAU